rnacentral:rRNA from 1 species
UACGUAGGGCGCAAGCGUUAUCCGGAAUUAUUGGGCGUAAAGAGCUCGUAGGCGGUUUGUCGCGUCUGCCGUGAAAGUCUGGGGCUCAACUCCGGAUCUGCGGUGGGUACGGGCAGACUAGAGUGAUGUAGGGGAGACUGGAAUUCCAGGUGUAGCGGUGAAAUGCGUAGAUAUCUGGAGGAAUACCGGUGGCGAAGGCGGCAUCCUGGACCGACAUUGACGCUGAACGGCGAAAGCUAGGGGAGCAAACGGG